UAGUGGGUUGAUAGUUACAAGCAAAGUGGGUUUUCUGCCACACUGGGGGCUAUAGUUUGCAACAGUUUACAGUACAGCAUGUUAAUUUCUAGGAAUUCAAAAGCACCAAGCACUAAGCAAUGAUGAGGUGGCAAUGUCAAUUACCUAAUUAGAUCAAUAAACACUAUAGCCAUGUUUUGAACUGCUACCCUGUGCGUUCUAGAAACUGCAUUUAGAAAGGCAGGAAACAAAGGCAGGGUUUGAGGGCAGUAGGAAGCUAAAGCCCGGGAAUUAAGCAGUGUUAUGGGAAAGCUGUGAUUUGUUGCUGUAACAGUGGGAAAGAGGUUGCUCUGAUUUGGGUGCUAAUUUACAUAAAUAAGCAAAAUUUUCCUAUCUCUCAGGGAUAAACACAGAUAUAGGAGGACAGAAUUUCAGAGGCUUGAGCAUCAUAUUUCUGCAUUCGUACUUUACUUCAGCCUACUAGCUCUUACAGCUAUCAUUCUCACCAUGUAAGUGCAGAGCAGUCAACGUGAGGGAUAUGAUUAGAGGUCAUGCUAAUGUAAUUCUUCUAGACUGCAUGCCCUUCUCGAUCUCUCUUGGGUGCUCUCAUGUGCCCUCAGACUCUUACUUGGGUCUGUGCUUGCCCCUGUAGUGCUGGGAUCGGGACACAGACGUUCUGAUAAUGAAGGCAGAGUCAAAAUAAUUUAAUUACUCAUUCAGAUGAUAUUUUCCUGGAAGAUAUUCAAAUCUGAUAUGCUUUCAGACUGUGGCUUUUGUAGGGGAAAGAGGUGAUCACAUUAUUAAUAUUAAUAAUUUAUGUCUUUAAGUGAUCUUUUGAAGUGAGCAUGAAAUUUGUGAACAUUAACUUCAAAAACGAUCCUUUCUGGGAUGAAUUUUUAUUACAGUUGCAACGAUUACAAUGACUAUGAAGCACGUAUUAAAACCUUCUCUCAAGAUAGAGCUCUACAGGUAGAAAAGAAAAAAAAAAUUACAGGAAAACAGGACUUGUCCUGACCAGUCAAGAAGGCAGGGGCCAUUAACUCCUGGGUCCUCAUUAACUAACAUCUUCUUCCAAGUGCUCAGCUUGGCACAUUUCACAUUACAAGGACUCAGUGACCAUCAAGUGGCUCUGAAAUGGUUCCCAUAAAUCAUCAUGUAUGACAGUGGCAUCUAACAUGCUAGAUGGGUUAGGCAACCAUCCCUGUGUGGGGACAUAAUGAGGCGGGGACUGAGUCUCCCUGGAAAUUCUACUAUUGUUGAAUCUUAUUCUGACCUUUGAGUUAAGUACGAAUUUCUGAUCAGUUCCUAUCUUCCCAAAUUUAGCAUGCUCUGCCCGGGAAUUUAUUAAGAGAUCACGAGUACAGUGUGAAUUACUUUAAGGAAGUGAAUUACUUCCUUUUGUGUCAUAAAAGGUUUGCCUUGCAGAGCCAAAUCGGCUUGGGUAAGGGACAUGGGGUUGCUUUGGUGGCAAAAGGGAUUUAAGUGGGCUCGUUUUUGUUUCAUAACCAUUCCAGCUUUUCUUACUCUCACUCAGCUCCUGAUCAGUCAGGAAUGCCUUCACGCCCAAACACUCAGUAGCCAAAGAAAGAACCCAAUAACACCUUGUCCUUGGAGUCCGCUAAACAUGAACACGUUAGUCUGAACACAGGGCCACAUCCUGACUAAUCCAGCACUCCCCUUGCUUCUCCAGGCAGUAACCGUAUUUACUCACCUCCUUGACUUUCCCUCUAGAUUGUAAUUUUUACAACAAAUGGAAAGUUGUAUUUACCCAGGGAAACUCUUGCAGGAACAGCUCUUCGGUCGAUCCAGAAUGAAACCCAUGAAAGCAUUACCAUCAACAUGGCUGGGAAAUAGGUCUGCAGUACAAAGAAGAAAAUGUGCCUCCGUAGCACAAAGUUGAUGAAAAGCCUGUAGUACCACCCUAGGUGAAAAACAAGCAAACAAACAAACUGGUUACCAUUAAACAGGCUUAGUCACACAACCUACUCUUCAGACAGGAAGCUCUCAGGGCUCGUAGACUGUGAUGGACCACCUCUGCUUACUCAGCACCAGCUUGUUCUCACCUGGCCUAACUCCAGCCUGCUUAAUCAUUCACCUGAAAACUUGCUGACCUUCUAGAGCCCGGCUGGGGAGUGAAUGGCAACUGCAUCGAAUGCAUGUAAUUUUGCACACUUAAAUUGUUUGGAGUAUUUCCGUAAGGACAGUGCUAAUUGAUGACUGUGUAUCAUAGUGAAUAGUCUUUAUCAAAUGAUAUGCUGAAGAACAUUUGACUGUAAGAAAAGGUUUGGAGUAGAUCACCGGACCUUUGCUUGGGAUCUGGAAUAAGAUAAGAAUUCAAAGAGAAGAAGGGGCGUCUUUAACAUGUUUUCAUUACUUUUGAAGUUUCAGAUAUUAUGAUAAAUCUGCAAAGAGGUAAUUAAAUGGUGAUAUUUCUUUGCAUGCUGUUGGACUCAUAUAAGCUUAUGUUGGUGAUAUUAUGUAAUCUGAUGAAAAAUACCACCGUUGUCAUAUCUAUAGCAAACUGAACAGAUUUCUUGUUUUCACAUUUACUAUAUCAAAGCUUUCAAAAGUGGAAGAUUUAUGUGCUCUUAAGAGAAACCAGAGUAUAUAAAGAAGUUAAGUUCAAAUUUUCAAACCAUCUUUAGGACAUUGUAGAGUGUUAUUCAUCAUGACUCCUAGGCUACAUUGAAUACUUAUGUUUUCAUUAUUCAAUCAUACUUAUUAUUUCAUUUUGGUUUCUGUGUGUAGAUGUUUUGACUGUAUGUAUGUAUGUAUGUAUGUAUGUAUGUAUGUGCAUAACUGUUGUCUGUGGAGACCAGAAAAGGGUUCUCAAUCUCCAGAACUAGAGCUAUAGAUGGUUGGGAGCUAUUAUGUGGGGGAUGGGAAUUUAACCUGGGUCUUGUGAAAGAACAGCCUGUGAUCUUAACUGUCGGUUCAUCUCUCCAGCCCCUCACUCAUACUUUUAAAUGCAUAGCAAUAACCAUGUAUCAAUUUUAGAAUUUACUGAAAUAAGGUAAUGAAUAAACAUUAGAAUAUGCUUUAUGAAUGGUGUAGAGUUUAACUUGUAUGUGUCAAAAACAAUUUUGAAAUGAUUCAAAACCUAGAGACUAUAGUAGAUCAAAUUAUAAAGCCGAAUCGCAGGUCAUAUAAAGCUAGAGAACUCUUCUAUUUUUAGUAGUAAUUUCUUAGAAGAUGCAGAUGCUAAACUUGUUGGGAGGGACAGAUAAAUUGUUUGAACACUGAGUACUAGGACAACUACAUUGAACUGAGAGACUCUCCAUCUAGCCUCUGAUUCUCAGUUAAUUGCUCAUUAUAUUUCUUAUCUUAUCAGACUCCAAGAUUCUCACUGUUUGCUGACACAGAUUCUUUGAAACAUAUAUACCUGAAGAUUACAAAUUUCAUUAGCGGUGGAUAUAAAUGAAACAUCCUGCAUAAUAUUCUAAAGUUAAAAGUACACAUUGCCCUUGGUGUUAGUAAAAAGCUUGCAAUGUGUCAAUGUUUUGUUUAGACACUCACUUUACUGUGUGUGCGAUCGAAAGUUGUGAUCAUGGCUGAAGCAUGGAAUAAUAUACCAACCUCUACUGCUUCGCAUAAUUGUUGGAAGGUUAAAAUAAAAUCACAAUUAUAAAUGUCAUUCUUAAAGAGAGAUAAAAUUACAGUAUAGUUGUUUCAACAAUUUAUAAAGGGACUGGUCCCAGGAACCCUUGGACAUUGCUCAUAUAAGAUAGCUUAUUAUUAUUUGCAUAUGAUCUAUUUAUAUUUAUCCAUAUAUUUUAAAUAAUCUCACUUAUUUUAUAGUGCCUAAUGCAAUGUAAGUGCCAUGCAAAUAGCUGUUAUGAUGAUUAGGAACUUAUGACAAUACAUAGUUAGGUUCACGCUAGCACAAAUGUAUUUACAAAUUUCAACUCAAAAUUGGAUGAUUCCAUGUACGGGAGAGCAGUGGAUAUAGAUGGUUGAUUGUUUGCAGUUUUCUGUUUACUAUUUGAGUUCUUGAGAUACAUUUAGGCAUUGAUUCUUUCAUAAAAUGAUCAUCAUUACUAUUAUCAUUUUUCAAUGCUAGAGAUUAAACCCAGAGCAUCAGAAAAUACUAGGCAAGUACAUUACUAAGCAACACUUCUCCCCUCUUAACAUUUUUCUGGAGAGGUAUUAUGUGGGGUUUUAUUGGUGGGGUUAGUACAAGGAAUUAACUGGGAAGGAAGAACACUGCUCUUACCCUGUGGAUCAGGAGGGGAAGACGAAGAUGGUACUCUGGGUAGACUAGGCCAGAAGGACUCCUUUACUCAUUACAACAGGCCAUUCUACCUUGUAAGAUGGUCAAAUCAUUACUGCAGCCAGUCUAAUAAAGUGUCGGACUUCAUUUCUAAUCCUAAAAUAUGGAGAGUUCCCAGGCCCCAUUUCUAUGUCCCUCUGCCUCAUAAAUAACAAACUAAAAAAAAAAAAACAAAAAAACUAACUAUAAUAAUAGUAAUAGUGAUAAUAAUCUAUGCAAACAAUCACAAGAUAUCUUUUGGCAUCCCAGGAAAUCUUUAACCAUUGUCUCCUCCACCAAAGGAAGCAUCGUUUGCUUUCCUCUACCCCCAAACCACCAUAAAAUUCCGAACCAGGUGCUCCUUUCUGUGUUCUCAGCUCCUUGCAGACCUGCUUGGCAGGCUGGAUUGCUCUUUCUAGGAGGCCCACAAAGUGAACCAUAAACCCGUCAUACCUUUAUGUGGUGGCAUCACCAUUCUUUUGCAAUGUGAAUUAAAUUUUUGGCGGGGCGGGGGGUGUCAGGAGGUGUCUCCCAUUGCCUCCAUCAGUAGAAAGAAGCAGAACUAAAGACUGUGAGAAAGGGGCUGGCAGUAAUUGGGAUGCCAUCCCAAGAUGACAUCACAAGCUUCCCGUGUACUUAUAAAUUGUCACAUAUGAUUGUGCUCUGAUGUUAAGGACUUGGAUUGUAUUAAAAGCAUCACAGGGAAGAUGCAGAUGAAAAUGAUGGCGAUGUAUUUCCUAACUAAUAUUGUUUAAGCACUUCCCACAUGGCAGACACUAUUUCAGUCAUUCAAAUGUACUAACUCAUUUGCAGAAUUGCAUGAGGCAAAGACUGUUGUGACACCCUCUGGAAGGUGGGGAAAAUGAAUUAAGCAACUCUUCCAAGGCUGUGCUGGUGGUAAGCCAUAGACUAGAGUUUGAACUCAGGCAGAUGCCUCUGUACGUUAGCUUUGAUAACAAAUAAUUCCCUGAUAUAUUUUUGCAGUGAUAGAAGUCUUUCCUAUGUGAACCCACAAUAUGCAAAAAUUUAGAGGAACAAUGAGGUGGAUGAAGGGCAGAAAAACCCUCUCCUACUUGUUGAUGCUACUGGGUGGCCAAGGGCUUGUGUAGAGGCAAUGGUAAAAGUGAAAGAAUCAUAAGUAAAAAGCAGUACUCCACUAUAGAUGGAAAAUAAGUUUCUGUACCUCCAAUCUCACAGCUCUUACAAUGAGAGCCAUAUGCAUGGUUUUAUCUCUCUGUCUGCCUGCCUAUCUAUCUAUCUAUCUAUCUAUCUAUCUAUCUAUCUAUAAUCAAUUUAUCUAUCUUGUAUACAAAUUUGAGGCUGGUGGUUACAGUUGGUAGUUAUGAUAGGAAUAAAGAUAUUUAUAAUCGUUUUUGACAAAGCUAAUAUUUUUUAAACAGAAGGACACCACAUUAAAAAUUUAUGGAUAAUGUGAGGCAGACCUGUUAUCUACUCACGAACUGAAAUCAGUCUCUAAAGUCAUCUUUCUGAAACUUAGGAACUUUUUAAAUCUGGAUAUAACAAUUAAUUUGAUAUAUGAACACAGCUUUCAGAAUGCCUUGAUCUUGUACAUUUCUAAUAUUAGAACACAUUUUAUUCCUUCUAAUUAAAAGGGUGCAUUUUAAAAAAAUUAGAAUUACAAUGUGUUGAAAUAAAAUUGAAACUCUCCCCAAUCUCUAGCUACUUCUUAAAAGUUUAGAAUGCACAGGUACAUAUAAACAUGGCUAUAUAUGUAUAAAUAAUUUCUCCAAUAACAAAUAUGAGUUUUUGUUAAAGAGUCUUCUAUUAGUUUCCCUUUUAAUUAAAAGAAACUUUGCAUCAUGCUGUAUAAGGCUAUACAUUUGAAGCCAUUCUAUCUUGUCUAUUUUUCAUAGGAGUUAAUGUUCUACUACUUCUUAAAAGUAUAAACAUACUGGAAUGUUCAGGCUUCUUAUUUCAUUUAAAAUACAUAAAAGCAUCUUUGUGAACAGAUUUUCAGUGAUGUUUUGUCUGAUUUUUGACAGGCUCUACAACGUGAAGAGAAGAGGAUAAAAAUUACCUAGUGUUGAUCCUGCCUGGGUGACAAGCACAGGUAGUGGACUAAAUGGAAUGAUUUAGAGGUAGAGUUUGAAAUUGGAACACUUAUCCUCUGCAUUUAAAGGAAUAGUUGAAUUUCCACUGAAUAUAUUCAUGGAUACUUAUGCUUCAAAAUCCUAAGAAGUGCAAUAGAUAUAAUAGAUAUGAAUGUAUAGAUAUAGUGUAUAUAUCUGUAUAGAAAUACCACCCUUUGAUUUCCAUGUUUUCUAUGCACCACAUUAUGAUCACAUUAAAAAGACAGAUCAUGGUCAUAAUUUAUCAUGAGUUACUUGAUCAUAGAAAUAAUAAAAUAUUAAAACUCAUGUAUCAUUUUCAUUGUAUAUAUUCAUUUAUUUAAAUAUUGGCUUAACUGAAUCAAAGAUUAUAAACAUUAAAUUUUUGGCAUCAUUUAUAAGACAUGAGCAAGAGAAGUAGAAAACUGCAUCACAACAGCUUGUCUGUAUGAGGUGUUCUUAGUAUCACGAGAGCUCUUCAGACUUCUGAAGUUCUUUUCCAAUUAUACACUACAUAUUCAUUUAUUCAACAGUUUGAUUCUGAGAAUCUUCUAUGUGCCAGGGAUAUACCAGUGAUCAAGGAACACAAAUGCGUGUUAUUUGCAUAUCAGAAAAUGCAAUGGACAGGAUUAAAAUUAAUAGCAUCAUUUGUUGAAUGUUAAAGAAUGCAAGUGAACAGAGUGAAACUGACAUUUCUUCCAGAUCUAAAUAUCCAAAGAUGGUCCCAGGGAUGCAAUUAACUUCUUUGAGAUUUAAAUGUUGGUUGUACUUUUAAGACACUGGCUUCUAGAUAGAUAACUCAGUAUUUGCUCCUUCAGUGACACAGCCAAGCAGAUGGGAUAGAAUUCCAGCCAGGGCAGCUCUGAGCCCAAGUGCCAGCUGCAGCCACAUUUUGUAGCCUGAACACAGCUCCUUUACAGAGUACUAGUAACUAACAAAACAGUGAAAAAUGUCUGUAUGAGUGUGGCGUUUUGGAGGAGGUGAGAAAGAGCUUGCUCCUAGCUUUGGUUAACAGUCAGAUAUGUUUUUUAAAUCACCGGGGAUAAAUGCUACCAAAUCAAAGAUAAAUCAAUUGCAAUGAAGAAUAUAUAUUGCAUUUCUAAUUCCUUUUAUCUUUUUUUCUUAAUUUUUCCUUACAGUUCAGAUUUUAUCCUCCUCCCACUCUACACUUUGACUGUUCCACACCCCAUACCUCCGCCCUGAACCUCCCUACCCGACUCCUCCCCCCCCCCAUUUCCACAAGGAUGUCACCACCACCAUCGCCCCCAGCCCCUACCCCACCAGACCUCCCUGAGGAAUUCUAAACAGAUUUUUUCCCCUUUGGGCAAUAGUGCAUCUUGUUAAAUCAGUUGUGUCAGUUGAUUUUUGUUGAACAUCUACCAUAGACCAGGUAUAUUCUAGGAUCUGGGAAGAGAUGUUUAACAAGACAGUUUCCCAACUUUUUCCAAAAAGAGACUUAGAUAAUAGACAAUAAGGCAUCUAUUUCAGCUAGCAUUAUGUGCUGGGAAGACAAAAAGAGAUAGGAAAUAGUGAGGAUGGAGGCUUAGAUAAGAAAGACUCAAUAGGAUAUCACCAUUUGGGGAGAUGAUUUGCAAAGUUCUGACUGAAGCAGGCGGUUGGUCAUGAGACGAGCAGAGGCAGAGCAAAGCCACGUAGAAGAAAUGAGAUAAGAGUGUGUGAGAACAGGAGAGCAAGAAGUAGAAGGCAAUGCGGUGGAGGACCACAGGUUGGGAUGAGGUCUAUAUCCUGAGCAGCACCCAGGAUAUAGAUCUCGUUGAGAAACUUAGCUUUGCUUCUAAAGGGGAUGGAAAAACACUAAAAGGUUUUGGGCUGGAAAGAGUUUUCAACAGUGAUUCCCUUAUUGCAAACAAAACCCUAUGUUCUACUAAGAAUAGAGUGGAGGGGCCAAGAAUACAAUUAGGAUGUCUCGUUGGAAGGGUUUGCACAAUGGGGAGAGAAAGAGAUUUACUUCACAAACAGUUGGCACUCAAUAGUUGCCUAAAGUUGUCUGCACAUAGUGUUGUACCUGUGCUGCUAUAGAAAGCCAAUCCACUGGAUGCACUGAACUCCUCAAUGAAGAACUGAGAAAGGGAAAUGUGCUCUUCUGUGUUUAAGGACUUGUUACCAUGUUUCCAGUAGAGCAUUAGGUCCUCUUCAUUAUAGGCAUCUAAAAUAGCACAGACGUUUCCUGUGUUAGAAGUUAGGCGAGGUCUAUAGCCCUGUUUUAUCAGUUCCUGGUUCAAUGCCAUUCAUGUAGUACACAUUGAAAGACAUUUUCCAAGGGACUGAACAAAUCCAUACUUCAAAAUGGAAACAAAACAAAACACCAGCCCCAUCUUCAUCUCUAAACCUGGGAGCCUGAAGACUGCCAAGAUGGUGGGAUUUCUUCCUCUGUGAUGCUUGGAAUUUUCCUGUGUUCCCUGUCUGUGUGCAUUUGCAUAUAAGAUUAAGCCAAGCUAGGGAUCAGGACUAGGCCACGGUUCUGCUCUCACGUGGGCUUAUUCUAUGCUUUUAAAUUUGUUUUGUUUUACCUAUCUUGGAUGAAAUUCUCAAAUGAGGAUUAGUUUAAGAAUUUUCUUGUCUUGUGUUAUAAACAUUUUUAAUAGACCUAGAAAAGUACAGCUGUGUAGGAGGCUCUCGCUGAGGCGCAGACCUAUGAUAGAAAAACUGCAGUCGACCUUUAAGAUGUAUCAAAAGGAAAUGUUGGGCAACGGUAAUUGACAUGGAGCUGGAUCACAGACUCUUGAAUAGACUUUGACUGGGGCGUCUGUGCUCCAAGCUGGGUUCCUCUGGGGAGCCUGUGCAUACUUAAAAGAGGAUUAGAACUUGUCUAGCUAUAGGAUUCCCAGACUUUCCAAAUGUGGAAAAUCAGUGCCAGUAUUAGGACAAUGCACCCUCUAAGGAGCUGCCUUUCAUUGCUAUUGUGAAAGCCACAAUGUUUAAUUACCGCAGCAUUUCCCCUUGACUCUCCCCAUUCAAAGACAAUCUGUUUUACCAUCAUUAGGAAGACAGAGAUAGCGUAACACCAAAAAGCAGAGCCUUAUAAUUUGAAAAUAUGAUGAGAUGGAAAAAUAUGAUAAGAUAUUUAAAUGAUUGCUAAGCACAUGCCUGUCUCCCUGUGAGUGGUGAGCGUGUGCUUUAAUGAUAAUGCAGGCUCUUUUCACCAGGCAGAAAGACUUACAGCUUUCCAGCUCUAGAGAACAGUUCUGAGUGUCCAGAGGAAACCUGCUGAAGUCCAUAAAGCACAUGGCUGAAACUGUUAUCCUGUAAACGGAACAAGAAAGAAGAUUUUGAUCAUUUACCCAUAUGGCCCAACUAGCGCGCAGCGAUGAAGCCUGUCAUUGUUUUCUUGCUUUGUGUGUCUUUCAAGGAUAAUGAGAAACAGGCCUGGCUGUGUUCUGUCCAAAUAACAAGACAGCAAACCCAGUGGGGUAGGGAUUGCUCCCAGAUUGAUGAGUAAAUUCUUAUACUUACUGCAUAUCUCGCUGUUUCUUGCUUAACUCCCUCUGUAUUUUCUGGUUUUCAUGAUAUAAUUAUAUAUGUGAGUGUGUGUGUAUGUGUGUAUGUAUGUGAUAUAUAUGUAUAGGUGUAUAUGUAUAUAUAUGUAUGCAUAUGUAUGUUUGUGUAUAUAUAUGUAUAUAUAUUAAAUUUCAGAAAAAUACUUCAAAGUCAGAUGACUUUAAGUGGAUUUAAGUUGUUCUGC